CAUUUACUCCGUAGAUAGCAGAGGUCCCGGAAUGGGAAAGGUCGGGUUUUGACAGUUCUCGGGGGAGAAUCCGUCUUGGGACGCCUGACAGAAAACACCAGGGGAAUGGAUCCGGGAAAUAAAUCCAGCAGGUCGGGGAGGAACGAGAAGACAGGGGGGUUUGCAUUUCGCUGUGUACAUUAAAAACGUCUGGUGCCGGUAUCCUCGGCUUCAAGUUCCUGUCCUGACUGCCCUCAAGACUGACGUGACCUGGAGGCUGGGUGAGCUCUCCCUCCCUUAAGUCACCCCUGGCCAUGCUAUUUGCCCCAUCGCCGGAAUGAAACGGACAGAACACAAGCUGCACGGGUAAGCGGAGACAGCGCCAGCGACCCCAGCGGAGGAGGGCUGGCGGUAAAGCAGGUCUGAGAACAGCGGUAACAGUAGAAGGGAGUCUUAGAAGAGAGGUAACUGUAGUCUGAUAUCAGAAGAGGCGCAUGAGCUCGCCUCAGUACACAGAGUUCCCAGGAAGGCCCUGCAGAACAGUGAACCCUCGAGGGAACGUCUGAUCUGUCAGCCUGGCUGGGAGAUGGGAAGGGACACUGAGGAAGAUUAACGGAAGCCGUCAGCAGUGACCAGCCAGCUCUGGAAACAACGGGCACAAAUACCGUUUCCAAUCACUAGAAACAUGCUAGCAGGGGAGAGAUGGUUCAGCCAUUAUGGGUAAUGGACACGCUUCCUGAGGUUAAUUCCCAGCAACCACGGGGUGGCUCACAACCAUCUGUAAUGGCAUCUGAUGCCCCCCCCCCUUUCUGGCAUGCAGAUGUAAAAGCAGAUAGAAUACUUACAUACAUAAUGUAAAAAAUUCUUAAGAAAAAAAAAAAA
rnacentral:lncRNA from 1 species